GAUUCUUAUUUGACUAUCAGUCAUUAUUUUUUAAUCAUUACAGUGUUCCCUCACAAUUCGCUGUUUCGCUGAUGUUUUUUAGUGCUUUUUUUUUUUUUUAAUCACAGCUAUGAAUGCUGUUCCAGGCCAAGCCUGGCCCUUUAAGAAGAGUUGCAUUGUGGGAAGUUGAGUGUCUAUCUCUUCCCUCACUAGGUCUGUCUUGCACAUCCCAUUGUUUUCUGGGUCCUGAUUGGCUGCAGACCAUUGUCAAUCAAUCUCCUUCGUGCCGUCCUGCCAUGGCUCCUGUGUCAUCGCUAGCUUUGUUGCUUGCUAGCUUGUAUAUGAAUCUUCGGUUCUCUGCAGGAAUAUGUUUUAACAAGGAUACAAAAACGCUACAGUACAGCGGAACGGCGCCAGGACGAAAAGGCACGGGAACAUGCAGCAUAAAUGCUGGAUUUUCAUCUCCAUGGACGAACGGCAGUGACAAGCACCUUCCAGCUCAAACACGCCCCCACCCCUCAGGAUGAAGCGCAUUAAAUUAAUGGCAACAUGCAGACAAACAGAAACUGGUGCCAUGCUCCAACUCAGUGUGCACUCAGACGGUAGGCGGGAGCACACCACGCCAAGAAGAGACGCUCACGGCAGCCUCACAAGGGUCGCGGGGGUAUGCUGGAGCCUAUCCCAGCUGACUUCGGCGACAGGCAGGGUACACCCUGGACUGGUCGCCAGCCAAUCACAGUAUUCGUGACGAACUGGAGCGGUGGGAAGAUCUCCAGCACCUGUGGAGAAAUGUGUGAAGGUGGGUGCUCAAGGGGAAAGAGUCUUUGCUGCUCAGGGCAUCAAACCUCUGCCAAGGUUGCAAGGCUGUAAGUGCGGCACCCUUAAAAGCAGAAGUGACGUCAAAAUGAAAAGUUAUGCAACAGCAAAAAAAAAAAAAAAAAAAAUGAAGGGUGAAGCACACUGAACGUAAUAGUGUAAAAUAAUUUUGAAAAAAGAACUGAAUCAGAUGCCACCAAUGAGUCAUCCUCAAAAGUCAAUGCAAGUUCACAGCAAAGUGGUCUAACGUGGGACGUGGCCUAAAAUAAGCAUUUUUCACCUUCAUUCCUGAUAUUUAAUCUUUCAGGCUGUCAUUUCCAAAAUGUAAACAUUUAUUAGGGCUGUCUUUGACAAAGGAUUUUCAUAGUCAAAUCUGAUUCGUUCCAUUUUUGCCAUAGUCGACUAAUCAUCAAACCUUAGCCGUUUUAAAUGAUACCUCACGUUGGUUGUUGGCACGUGGUAUGUAAGAAGCUGCUGACACAAGCUGCACUCUACUUUCUUGGGGCUAUCUUUAUCCUUUUCAAAAUACUUCCACACUUUUUAGCAGCAUUUACGGGCCAAUAAGUCGACGUUGACGGUCGUCCUAGCGCUCAUUUCAGCUCCAUUGGAUUGUGCAACUGCAGCGGGCGAUUUUAUUAAUAAAGAUAAGUCCUUGGUUUAAAGUUAAACACACAUGUCAUUUUCAAUUCUUGCAUUCAAUAACAUUGGACUUUUGAUAUCAUCAUUGCAAGUGCCUGCUCAACAAAGUACUGGAAUUAGGAGCCCUUGUAUUCAAUGACACGCUCAGUAUAACACAAAGACAGCAGGAAGUGGAUCCGGAUAUCAACACGUGAAAAAGGAACAACUUCUUUGUUUGUUUUGUUGUUUUUUGUUUAAAUAAUAAUAAUGAUAGUAGUAAUAAUAAUCAUCAAAAUUAUUAUUAUAUUACCUGCUUUGAUUGUAUGGAAGAAUAGGUGAACAGUGAAUCAGUGUGUGUUGAAUACAGGAAGAUGAACAUAUGUAUUAGCAAUUGAUGUGAUACGGAAAGGGGGUCGGAUUAAAUAAGCUCUGCUUCUUCCUGCUCCUUUUCGGACGUGCCAGUGUAAACUGUAUGCAUGUUUGAAAUAAAUUAAAUCAUAACCACUCUUGGGCAAAUUAGGCUGAUUUUGUAUCAACAUAUGUUAUGUUUAACACAAACAAAGACAUUCUAUAUAAAUAUAUAUAAAAAGAUAAAAAUAUAUGCUCAACAGCUGCCUUGGGCACCCCCAUGUCGUCCGAAUGGUACAAUUGUGAUCACAUGACAUUUUCAUGCGAUUUGACUGCAAGAUAGAUAGUCAAAUCAGCAACGAGUCCACCAUUCUAAGACACCCCUGCUCAUUGUACAGUAUAACAACUUAGUUUUAUAAUAGUGAUUUAGAGAACAUAAGAAAGUGGAACGGAAAACUAGGAACAUGUAGCUCUGUUUGACCCAAUGGUAAUUUAGGAGCAAGUAUGUUGCACAAUACAGUUGCAACAGAACCAGUGUUGUAGUAACGGUAAGGAGCAAAGAGACUUGGCAGUUCAUUGAAUAGAAGCGUUAAAUUGUUUACAGUGCAUGCAUGGUUUUAGACCACAUGUGUUCAUCACCCGCCAUGAACUAAGUAGUUAAUAUUGUGCUAAAUAACAAACAAAAAGCAACCUCACUUUUUUUUUUUCACUUUUCUUAGCAGUCGUGUCUUGCUGGAGGUCUGUCUGUGCUCUACUGAGUGACUUUCUAGUUAUAUAUCAUCAUUACAGUGUUGCUAAAACAGCAAGUCUAAUGGUGGCCUAGGACUUUUGCACAGUACUGUGCUCGCGGUGACGCACGGAGCAUGCUCCCUGCGGUUGGUUAUUUGCAUGUUGACAGUCACGUCGGUCGGAGCAGAGCUUGUGGGAAUGUGGCGGCCAUAAAACUCUUGACCCUGGCACUGGCCCGCUUCCCUCGCAGACGGGGAAGUGGCGACCGAUGAGGAAGCCACACAGGCCCAAUGUAUCAAGAGCUUCUCUAUAACCGACACUUUUUUUUUUUAGUUUCGUCCUCAGAACCCUAGGUCACGACCUUUGGCUUUUGUCCUUUGCGGUGUUGAGUCUUGCUACGAGUUUCACUUCAUCUGAUUUGAAAUCAACUCCUAAUAAGUCACCAAUAUUUUUGUGUAUCCUAAUUCUUGUUUUUGCCCAACAUUUCCAUUGCUCAUUUUCCUUUUCAGCCCUGCAAAAAAUAUUUGAAAAACAGACUAAUGUUCAUCCCAGUGCAUUAUUUUGCACAUUUUUAAGUUUCUGUUUGUAGAAUAAAAAUGCCUUUACCUUUACCUAUACUGUUCAAGACAAAUCUCUAUGUAAAUACACUACAUAGUGUGGUUGGAAGUUUACAUACACUCAUCAUGGUCAUGCAUCUCAUAUUCAUUUUGGGCCUUUCAAGAUUUAUUUGAACCGUUUUAUUUUUUUUACAGGGUGCAAUGAUUCCCCUACUUAGAAUGCCACUGAAUUCCUUGGACUUUCACAUUAUUCUGAGCCAGUGGCUGCUAGAAAUAAGUGUAAAAUUGAUCAAUUUAUAUACAGUGUUCCCUUGCUCCAUCGCGAUUCACCUUUUGCGGAUUCGCUGUUUCACAGAUUUUUUUUGGUGCAAUUUAUGUGCCCUGCGAUUGGCUGGCGACCAGUCCAGAGUGUACCCCGCCUGUCGCCCGAAGUCAGCUGGGAUAGGCUCCAGCAUGCCCCCGUGACCCUAA